AUACGUAGGGGGCGAGCGUUGUCCGGAAUGAUUGGGCGUAAAGGGCGCGUAGGCGGCCCGGUAAGUCUGGAGUGAAAGUCCUGUUUUUAAGAUGGGAAUUGCUUUGGAUACUGUCGGGCUUGAGUGCAGGAGAGGUAAGUGGAAUUCCCAGUGCAGCGGUGAAAUGCGUAGAGAUUGGGAGGAACACCAGUGGCGAAGGCGACUUACUGGACUGUAACUGACGCUGAGGCGCGAAAGUGUGGGGAGCAAACAGGAUUAGAUACCCUGGUAGUCCACGCUGUAAACGAUGAAUACUAGGUGUGGGGGGACUGACCCCCUCCGUGCCGCAGUUAACACGAUAAGUAUUCCACCUGGGGAGUACGAUCGCAAGAUUGAAACUCAAAUGAAUUGACGGGG
rnacentral:rRNA from 1 species